GUUAUCGGGGUUCGAUUAAGCCAUGCGAGUCGAGAGGGUUCGGCCCUCGGCGUACUACUCAGUAACACGUGGAUAACCUGCCCUAAGGAAGGGGAUAACCUCGGGAAACUGAGGAUAAUACCCUAUAGGUUACAGACGCUGGAAUGCCCUGUAACCGAAAGUUCCGGCGCCUUAGGAUGGAUCUGCGGCCGAUUAGGUUGUUGUUGGGGUAACGGCCCAACAAGCCGAUAAUCGGUACGGGUUGUGGGAGCAAGAGCCCGGAGUUGGAUUCUGAGACAUGAAUCCAGGCCCUACGGGGCGCAGCAGGCGCGAAAACUUUACAAUGCGGGAAACCGUGAUAAGGGAACCCCGAGUGCCUGUAUAUGCAGGCUGUCCAGGUGUCUAAAAAACACCUGAAGAAAGGGCCGGGCAAGACCGGUGCCAGCCGCCGCGGUAAUACCGGCGGNUCGAGUGGUGGCCACUUUUAUUGGGCUUAAA
rnacentral:rRNA from 1 species